rnacentral:lncRNA from 1 species
AGUUAUCAUCUUGCCUGUCACAAAGGCCUGGGAAACCUCACACAGUCAUUCACUCUUCAGAAAGCACCAUUUUUAGCAUCUACAGUACCGAACCAUGUGCAUAGCCCAGCCACCGGCUUGUUUAUAUAGAAGUGAUCAAGAAAGUGGCAGAAUUUUGCAAUGCAGAGGCUGUGUCAGAAUGCCAAAAUAUCAAGAUCAAAACACAGGGGAAAAACAUACAGAACCAAACAAACUAACACAGGCCUUGAAGAAGAAGCACUACACAUACAAAGAGGCGCUGCACAGAGUUGAAGAUGUUCACAACAGGAGCCCGUGCUAUCAGGAGGAAGG